rnacentral:rRNA from 1 species
UACGAAGGGGGCUAGCGUUGCUCGGAAUCACUGGGCGUAAAGCGCACGUAGGCGGCUUUCUAAGUCAGGGGUGAAAUCCUGGAGCUCAACUCCAGAACUGCCUUUGAUACUGGAGCUUGAGUCCGGGAGAGGUGAGUGGAACUCCGAGUGUAGAGGUGAAAUUCGAUAGAUAUUCGGAAGGAAACACCAGUGGCGAAGGCGGCUCACUGGCCCGGUACUGACGCUGAGGUGCGAAAGCGUGGGGAGCAAACAGG